AUUGAACGCUGGCGGCAGGCCUAACACAUGCAAGUCGAGCGGAUGAAGGGAGCUUGCUCCUGGAUUCAGCGGCGGACGGGUGAGUAAUGCCUAGGAAUCUGCCUGGUAGUGGGGGAUAACGUCCGGAAACGGGCGCUAAUACCGCAUACGUCCUGAGGGAGAAAGUGGGGGAUCUUCGGACCUCACGCUAUCAGAUGAGCCUAGGUCGGAUUAGCUAGUUGGUGGGGUAAAGGCCUACCAAGGCGACGAUCCGUAACUGGUCUGAGAGGAUGAUCAGUCACACUGGAACUGAGACACGGUCCAGACUCCUACGGGAGGCAGCAGUGGGGAAUAUUGGACAAUGGGCGAAAGCCUGAUCCAGCCAUGCCGCGUGUGUGAAGAAGGUCUUCGGAUUGUAAAGCACUUUAAGUUGGGAGGAAGGGCAGUAAGUUAAUACCUUGCUGUUUUGACGUUACCAACAGAAUAAGCACCGCUAAUU
rnacentral:rRNA from 1 species